AUUCCAUUUAUGAUAUAUAAUAAUUAUAUUAUUUUUCUGCAUAUAUUUUGUUUUAAUUACUAAUUUUAUUUGUAUGAUUAUAACUAUUUUUAAAAAGACUUGAUGUGUAAGAGUAAACAACUUAUUAACUAUAUGCUUUGAUUAGUAUAAAUAUGAAUAUUUCAAAUAUUAAAUAUCAAAACUAUAUAGUUUAAAUAAAACAAAUAAACCCCCAUUUAAUAUGCGUACAGAAUUUAGGUUUAUGUAAAAUACAGUACUACAGGAACUGAUAACUGUCAACCAAUAGAAAAGUUUUAUUGAGUUGGCCACUCUUUUAUUCAUCUAGUCUCCCAAAUUAGUACUGUAGGGUUCUGAAGUAAUUUUUCUUUUACUUUCUA